rnacentral:RNase_P_RNA from 1 species
UGAGUUGGUCGGAUAGUCGCCGCUAAAACUUGAUUUUAGAGGAGGAAAGUCCGGACUCCGCAGGGUGGCGUGCCGGAUAACGUCCGGGCAGUGUAAACUGACAGCCAGUGCAACAGAAAGCAUACCGCUCGACCACUUAAUUGCCUGCAAUUAAGUGGUCGGGUAAGGGUGAAAGGGUGCGGUAAGAGCGCACCGCAUCGCUGGUAACAGUCGAUGGCAAGGUAAACC